rnacentral:rRNA from 1 species
UUAUCCGGAUUUAUUGGGUUUAAAGGGAGCGUAGGCGGGUGCUUAAGUCAGUUGUGAAAGUUUGCGGCUCAACCGUAAAAUUGCAGUUGAUACUGGGCGCCUUGAGUGCAGCAUAGGUAGGCGGAAUUCGUGGUGUAGCGGUGAAAUGCUUAGAUAUCACGAAGAACUCCGAUUGCGAAGGCAGCUUACUGGACUGUAACUGACGCUGAUGCUCGAAAGUGUGGGUAUCAAACAGGAUUAGAUACCCUGGUAGUCCACACAGUAAACGAUGAAUACUCGCUGUUGGCGAUACACAGUCAGCGGCCAAGCGAAAGCAUUAAGUAUUCCACCUGGGGAGUACGCCGGCAACGGUGAAACUCAAAGGAAUUGACGGGGGCCCGCACAAGCGGAGGAACAUGUGGUUUAAUUC